UUGGUUUAAUUACUACACGGGGUCUGCUAAGACAAUUUCCUUGUCUGAGAGUAAGACCCUGGACUGCGGUCAAGUAAUCCUGUCGUUUUAACAUUUAUUCUGACAGCCGAUCUAGCCGGUUUCGCGUCAACAUCGACAUGAUCAAUUUUUGGGCAAAGAUAACAUUAUUUUUCCUUUCGGUGAAAUUUUAUGUUUCGCGCAUUUGUGAAAGCCAACAUUCCAAUGUGGAAUGGCCCGAUGAAAUCUUGUGCAAUUCGGGUAACAUUUUCGGGCCGAAGGAUGAACCGUGUAGUGUUCGCUUCUCAUUACGACAAUCCGAAUGGUUUUUUUGCAAAGCAGCCAAAGGAGGUAUCGCAACGUUUGUAUACGGGCUUAUUUACCGGUCAAUCGGCUAGAAAGCUUCGUACGAUUACUGCACACACUAAAGCUUCACGUCCGAUGGUUGAACGUACAAUCCUUGCUUACCCCUGAUUUGCGGCAAGCUAAUGUUCCCACGGCUAGAGGACUUGAAGGUGGCUAUAAAACCCUGCACGGCCCAAGCGGCGGUUAUUUCAAGCUUGGUUGACGAUUUUUUUCGAAGGCACCCUUUCCUUCGACGACUCUUUAUCUCCGGGAUGAUGAUUCCGGUAGAAUCUAUUACUCGUCCGGAACCCGGAAGAAGGAUCUUUUGGAGUCGUUGGUGCAGCUAAGCAAGCUAAGCACCUUUCAUUGGAAGGAACAGUGAAUAGGAAGAUUCUUCGUGCACCGAUGAGCUCGCUCGAAUCAGUUAGAUUGUGCAUGAGCAAUCCUGAAGUUUUGCUCGAGAAGCUUUUCGAAAUUGUGCCACGAUUGAGCUGUUUGAAAGCCACUUAUCCCAUAUCUUGUUUUCUGGUCUUCGACGAUAAGAACUGUCCAUCGAUCAUGAGCUUACACAUACUACUGACAUAACGGUUGAUGAUCUUAACCAGAUACCGGAAACGUUCCCUGUGCUGAAGAGAUUGAUCCUCGAGGACUGCUCGGUGUCUUUGGAUGCGGUCGAACGGCUACAUAAAUUGAUGCCCUCGUGUAGAAUAGACUACUGCAACUAACGGUUCUAUCCCAUUGACGAUGUGCCCGUGAACUGAAAAUAAGCGCGGAGCGUAAAGAAGAUGCAGCUUCGGAAGGAGAUAAAGUUUUGCGCUAAAACUCCUAAGAGAUGAGAUAGUUGCAAGCUAUCACUGCGGAUUCCAUCAGAAAGAGAAAGAAACAGAUCUGAGGUGAGAAUCGCGAGCGAUGGAAGCCGUGGCCGGUAGCCUGGCUCACGUGUUGCGCUGAAACAAUAAGAAA